ACGCAAAAAACAUACGUGCUCCGAAUUGCUGAACUGCAGCAAAUACUUUCUCCCCAGGAUGGGAUGGAGGCGAAGCAGAUGGAUCUGCCACACACCCUUAGCAUGCGCCAGUGAAAGGGAGAGCCGCGGGGAGAGGCCUAUCACCGGCUCGGGGGCAGUCCUUCCCAGACCCGAGGAUGACGUCAGCACAGCCGGGCAACGAUUGAUGGGGCCGCCGGCCAAUCAUGGAGAGUUUCAAGGCUCCUUCCCCUGGCUGCAAUUUUGGGGGAGCCGAGGAACUGCGGGGGCUGGGGAGGAAGCUGGAGAGCCACGGAGGGGGUGGGAAAGAAGAGGGACGUGGGGAGAAAGAAGCCAGAAGCCAGGGGGUGGGGAAGAGAGACGUCAGCGGGACCUGAGGGCGGCCAGGAGGGGUGGCACCGCGUCACCCCGCCCCCCAACUCUGCCAUAACCUGUUUCCACAGCCCCUUCCAUCCACAGAUCCGUGCUGCGUGCCCUCUGGGAAGGGUGAAGUAAAACCCUCAGUCUGAGCCUGAGAAAUCCUGGCAUUUGUAGCCCAGGGCUGCGAGGAAGCCACAGGGCGGUCCGCAGGGCGGUAUCGAGGCUCUGGGACCCAAGGAGGGGCAGGACGUCGUGCACCCCUCGCGCACGCACCUGUCGGGACCGGCCGCCUCCUCCUGCCUACCUGUCCUGCCUCCUUCGCCCCGAAUUUCACCUUAAACCAUGAUGAACCAAGCCCAGUGGAUUCUGAAGCCCGGGACGAUGGCAGGUUCGAGAGAGAAUUGGGCAGCUGGGGGCGGGGCACAAUAUUAUUUAGGCGCCUCCACCCCACCUUCACAGAAAUACAUCUGGAAAGCAUGGGCUGUCCUAGGGCUGGGGACUGGGGGUUACGGUCUCAUCGAUGACUCAGAGGGAGAGAAAACCCCCUGGGUCCCAAGCCAAAAAGAAUAAAAUUCUCCAGAAUAGCCAACAAGUCCCAGGAUCUCAGGAUAUUGUUGGAACUCAUCUCCACCUCACACAGCCAGACCAGCCUCAGGUGUCUCCCAGGAAAGACUGCCCCUCAGGCCCUGGGACGGUUCCCAAGCCUGCCAGAAAUGAGGUGGAGGCCAACACUGACCUUUGGAUGGCUGAGUUUUGGAUGACUGACAGCCCCAGAUCCUGCUCCAGGUUCCUUCCUCAGGA
rnacentral:lncRNA from 1 species